rnacentral:rRNA from 1 species
AUUGAACGCUGGCGGCAUGCCUUACACAUGCAAGUCGAACGGCAGCAUGGAAGAGCUUGCUCUUCUGAUGGCGAGUGGCGAACGGGUGAGUAAAGCAUCGGAACGUACCGUGUAAUGGGGGAUAACGUAGCGAAAGUUACGCUAAUACCGCAUACGACCUGAGGGUGAAAGCAGGGGAUCGCAAGACAUUGCGUUAUACGAACGGCCGGUGUGAGAUGAGCUAGUUGGUGAGGGAAAGGCUCACCAAGGCGACGAUCUGUAGCGGGUCUGAGAGGAUGAUCCGCCACACUGGGACUGAAACACGGCCCAGACUCCUACGGGAGGCAGCAGUGGGGAAUUUUGGACAAUGGGGGCAACCCUGAUCCAGCCAUGCCGCGUGAGUGAAGAAGGCCUUCGGGUUGUAAAGCUCUUUCGGCCGGGAAGAAAUCGCACAGGCUAAUACUCUGUGUGGAUGACGGUACCGGCAUAAGAAGCACCGGCUAACUACGUGCCAGCCGCCGCGGUAA